CUUAAAUUGAAGAGUUUGAUCAUGGCUCAGAUUGAACGCUGGCGGCAGGCCUAACACAUGCAAGUCGAGCGGAAACGAGUUAUCUGAACCUUCGGGGAACGAUAACGGCGUCGAGCGGCGGACGGGUGAGUAAUGCCUAGGAAA
rnacentral:rRNA from 1 species